GGUCCACAUGGACUUGUACAGGAAUGCAAUGAUGCAAAUACUACUAGUUCUUUCAAGCUCCAAGUACGUACAGUACAAGUGAUGGAGGAAUAUUCUAGCUGUAACAGCUCUUAGGAACAUUCACGUAUUGUAAAUUCAAUAAAUCACCUCCAGUUGAUCAGCAAACUCUGCCUCGAGAGUUGAAACUGACGAUACCCUUUUAUGUCGAAACAAGAAACAAUUGAAGAAUCUCCAAAAUAAUAAGAAAAUGUACGUUGCAUCAAGUGACCCCGACGACCUAUUGUAUGAUGAUAUCUUAAGCAGCACGUUCAGGAUUCUAGGAAAAUAUAACUCGAGGCUGGGAGGAAAAUUGAGGAGCUGAGUUACGUCUGACUACAAGAGGAUAUGCAUCAAUAUAUCGUCCGCUACUGUGCAUGGUUACUCUGAGGACAAGUAUAAGAUUCAAUGGUUGCUCCCACGCAAGAGGAGGAUAAAGUGAGGAAAAGAACUGAUUGAGGGAGUGGAAGAAAAUGGUGACCUUCGCCUUGAGGCAGCACCUCACCAAGCAAGGUAUCUUGUGGUUGGUUCCUUCGGGGUGAAGAUGUAUCUAUGGACCAAGUCUGUUCUGAGGGGGAGGGGUGAUUGUCACACGUAUUUGUUCUACAGUAUUGAGAGUCAUUGAUACAUGGAAACCACACCUGGUCUGGCCUGCACCAACAGGCGCGUCUUCUGUGGUAAUAUUUCUCGUCUCCCAGGUGCCAUAUUCAUUGUGACCUAUAGUUAUAAGGAAGUUGGUUGUUGCCAUCUCUCACUAGUCUGAUUAAUGUACCUUAAUUCUCUGUAGUGAAUUUGGAAAGUAAGUUUCGUGAAUUCAAAAUGACUCCCCCUCUCCCCCAGGAAUUGUUUUCCCAUAAUUAUAUCCUCCCCCCCACUUAACGCUCUAUGCACUUCCCCCAGGCACUAUACCAACCCAGUGGGCACGGAGUGGUGUUGGAAGAUGGACGAUGCGGAUAAAAAAGCUCUGGACAGUCACUACCAAAAUAGUCAUACAGUUCAAAGACACGUCCCGUCGUUGCGGGUGGACACCUGAUUUAAGAAGAGUAUUUGAUGUUAAAUGUACGUACAUUAAAGGUUUGAUGUAUAAUUAUGAUACUGUGAGUAAAGCAAAAAUUAUAUGUAUUCGUACAGUUGUGCAGUUAUAACAUCAGUCCAUAUAGUACUGCAAACUGUGUGAUGCCCUUUAUUGAAUGUUGUCCAUCGUCAUUAUUCCUUUGUGUCACUCACUUGGUGAGAAUGCAACACAUCAUAAUUCUCCUGGACUGCGGCCACUGAUCCUCCGAGAAUAACCUUGGAAAUAGUUAUUCUGAUUCUGCUCUACUGAGAUUGCUUAUGUUAAUGUUACUGAUUUUAGUACAUGCAUGCUCCACUUUUGCCGCCAAGUAGUGCCAUUUUGUUUGAAUGUGUUAGAACUAUAGAAUGCUUUGUGAAUAGCUAGUCACAGAUCGAUCAGGACCAUCGCUCUCUUAUAAGAUGGUCAGUGUAGUUAAUGAAAAUCACACAUUACCUGAGAAAUAUGAAUAAUACAUGCAUGCAUGUAGCUAUAAUAAUAAUUUAAUAAUUAUGGGUAAACAAAAAAGGCAUUUCACUCAUUCUGGGAAGUUUUGUUUUGUUAAGUCAGCUAUAUAUAAUAACAAUAAUUAUGCCUUAAUAACAAUUUUAUGCUUGUAUAUAUACCCUUAAAAGAAUGAUACAAAUUUUUGUACAAUGCACAUAAUAUACACAAGGAUGAAUGAUCAAAAGUCAAUAGUCAAAUCUAAGUUAUGGAUCUCUCUGAGAAACAACUGCCAUCUCUUGGGAAACGAAUCUCUCUUCUGUGGCUCAAUUUGACAGACGCCAUGUUUGUAGAGGUUCUUGUAGGGGUUGGAUGGGUCGAUGAUGCGUGGCUUCUCGGGUAGGUAGUGACUGUACUUCUCCAUAAUCACAGGGUUCUCCCCGGGGACGUGAAUGCUGUAUUGAUAGAGUAGUUGUGUGUCCGUACAUUUAUUUAGGUUUUUGGUACUUCCUUUAAUGGCUACUGCAUUGCAAUGUUUUAGUGGCCUGGCAUGUGGCUAUGAAAUAGUCUAUGCUAUAGGGUAUGAAAUGUUGUACAAAUUCAUGACUGUAUUAUUAUACCGUAUAGAGGGUAUAAAUAUUCGUGGUUUUCGCAUGUACCGCAAACAUUUAUAACCCCGAAUUUAAUAUCGCAUGCAUGUAUGCUGCAAAAAGGCUGCUAUUCCACGAAAAUGAACCUUAAUUUCUAAAGGCAUUUCCAUAAUGUUGUACCACUGUACAUAGUGGUAAAAGAAUGGUAAAGCAACUCACUCUAGGUCUUGAUUUAUAGCAAUACUCUCGACCAGCUUCUUGAUAUCCUUGGUCAUCCUAUAAGCGAGAGAAACAAGUGCAUGCAAACUUUUCCCAAAUCAAUAGCCCACCCACCAUUUUGCCAGUUCUUCUAGUGAUUCUGCCUGUGCUAACUCAGCAGGUGCAUGUUCGUAGGAUAUCAGUACGAGCAUAGACAGUAGGUAGGAUUUAGGGCAGCCAUUUUUCUGCUUGUCCCAUGUUCUGUUUCUCCAUGCCUUGAAUCUUUUUAUAAGUGUUUUUACCUGUCAAUAAAUCAUAUGACAUACUGUAGAUAUCGUAAAUAUUUCGUACUUGUUGUGGUUGUGAUUUUACUAGCAUUGUCUGAUACUUGAACAGUCCACAGCAAAACCUGACUUUGUGUGUGCAUAAUUAGAGAGAGUAAUAUCAUAGAACGAUAAGAGACAAGAAGGUUACGCACAAAUUCCUCCUCUUUGGAUGCAUUCCUUUGAGGUAGUCGUACAAAUCCUCCAAGUUUUGUUUCUUCCAUUGAGGACUGAGUUGUAAAUCAAUGUUCAGGUUAGAGGUCUCGAAACGCCAGCCGUGGUACAACCUCUCAAUGUUCUUUAUGUCAGUAAUGGAGUGCUUUAGGCACUUGAUUGUUCUGCCCAGUAUGAAUUUGUACUGUUCCUCAGAUGCCUCUUUCGUGCUCGGAUGCAGACCUGUAUAGUAAGAUACCAUAACGCAUAAGAUAACAUAAUUAUGUAUAAUCAUGUAAGUAGUUUUAGUUAUUGAAUUUGAGAUUGAACAUAAUUAUUAUAAUUUUUUUAUAUGCAUAAUAAUUAUGUUUCAGUCUGGGUGUGAGCCUUUGUAGGGUUAGCAUGAAUUUAGGCUAAUGCGAAUUAAUAUAGCUCAUUUGCUCUCAUGAACUGUAGUAUAGUGUAUGCAUAGUGUGUUUGUACUUGGUGAAUAGAUGCAUAGAUCAACAUCAAAGUGUGCAGGCAGACUUGUCUCUUGCCCUAGGGACCCUCCAAGGUAUACUUCAGAUAUGCUUAUGCCCAGAGUAGACUCCUAGAGCAGAAAAACACAGUGCACAUGGCAUAUCUAGAGUUCCAAAUGAAGAUCACCUUCUUUUUUAGUAUGCUUCUAACCCUCUUCACAAAUGCUGUGACAUCUUUGAGUGGAGUCCUCACUCUACUAGCUUUGCUCAUGGGUACUGCCAGAGCCAGUGCCAUUGUCACAUGGCCUUGUGUAUACUAUGUAGCAAGCUAGCUAGCUAGCUUGAUCCCUUCCUUGUUUAUGGAUGUUUGGUUAAGGACCUUUACCUAAUGAGUAAUGUUGCUUAUUGAAUGCUGCAUAAAAAAACGUUUUGCCUCAGCCUCUAGUCUUGCUCUAUUCAUCUAGUUAAUGUAGCUAAUCAUGCAUGCUCUCACACAUUUUUGGCCUAAUAGAUACGUUUUUUCGCAUGUUCGAGCUUUAAUCUAUCAAUGUUGCAACAAAAAAUAAAUUUCCCCGGCAUUUUCCCUCUCCCUUAGCCAUUUCCCCUAUUUCACUCGAAUACACAUAAUUAUUGUUUGAAGGGUUCACAGGGUCAUUCGUAAUCAUUGAUUUCCCACUAUAAAAGCUCUUGUGAUAUACUCGGACUAUAUAAUACUGUGUGCGGGUCUGGUUAAGUGCUAGUUGUUAGCCUGAGAGGUAUAUAAACACUGGUCCUGUGAUGAUUUUUGUUACAUUGGAUUGCUGUUGUAUGUUCCCCUGCUUAAUUACUAAUCCUACUGGCAGUCACAAUAAUUGCUUAAUGAAGUGAAAUCUUGGGCUCAUAAUUAUAGGCACUCAUUACGUUAGAUCUUGAUCGGCUAGAAAUCCUCAGCAUACUGAAAUUUACAAUCACAUUAUAGAUGUGCAUGUAUGAAAAGGGGCUCAAUGUAAAAUUUAUUUCAUGGUACGUAUAUGCUUGUAGUGACGCACAUUUUCACUUAACUCAAGCUUUCCUAUUAUAUAGUUUUUUGUAUCCAGUAGCAACGUCAACUGGGCCACGUCUCUUUUAGUCGGAAGGAGAUCUACCAGAAGUAAUUGCUUAAUUAUAAUUAUAGUGCUCAUAAACAAUGCAUGGUGCCCUGGCCCAACGAGCCGCUACAAAUAUUUCAGAUGCCUUUACAUGUCCUAUAUACUUCCCUUUGAAAUGCCUCAUGUGUAUAUACACGAUGAUGAUAAUGUAUAAUAAUAAAUACUCAUAUAAUGGCCUAGAAUAAACAGUCCUUGUUUUAGGAUGUCAGAUAUAAAUACUUAACUAUAUCUCCCUACAUGUAGCUCAUCCUAUUGGUCUUCUUCUGUGUCUUGCCAUGUUAUAAGUCUUUAUUCUAAAUAUUGUAUGUCUGGCUACGGAGAGUCCCUUAAUUUGUUGCAAAAUACUUUUUGUUAUUUUUGGUCACACAUGCAUGGAAACUCUAUAAGUUCUAAAUAUCUAACAAUGUGCUACAGUAUAUAGUCCUGUGUAUGUAAGUACUAAAGUUAUAGUCAGCUCUCUUGAACGGUCUUAACGUGUGAUCUCCUCCACACUCUUCUCAAGGUCAAAGUGUUCCACUUUGUCCACAAACUGGCUCCAGUCCCCAUCCCCACGCUCGUAGUCACACGGCCUUUUCUUGGGUGGGUACGGCCCAAUGCCAGACUGGUAGACAUUGUUAGCUGGAUUGGCCGGGUCGACCAGGCGUGGAGUGGACGAGGGAAAGAGGGUGGGGUAGUCUCUAGCGUUGUAGUAGUUCUCCCAGUAAAUGCUGGAAAAUUGCAUGCACGUUGACUCAUACAGUGUGUACAUAAUAUAGUUGUAUAUCAUGCACUAGCCUCGAUCCCAGGCCGAUCCGUCUCUAAUUGAACGCUAGGUCGCCUCCUCGGCCUGGUAUUGAUUGUAUCUGGGCGUGUAUCUGGGCGUGUGCUGUGGUUGCUGUGGUUGCUCAGGUAUUCGCUAAAAAAGAGCGAAUACCUGAGCAAGGUGGAGCGAAUAGAAACACUAAUAGUGUAUGUAAGCAUACUUACUCCGUAAAAUCACCGUUAAAUCACAAAGAACUCCGUGUCAUAGGUCUAUUCUUUGCAAGUUUAGUUUGUCAUAGAUAUAGGCUUAGCUAGCUAGAGUGUGAGGAGCUGUCUUGUGCGAAGGAAGAAGGAGCAUCACUCUUGUGAAAGAACAGACCUAGGUUCUCAAGUUUCUGCUAUCAGUGUCUACCUUUGAUUGACUACACAAUUUAAUACAAGCGCUUGAUUAGACCAUUGAUUGCCAGAUACACUUGGUAGAGUCUAUCCUCAGACUCUGGCCAUUGAUCUCUUGUAUACUAUGCUCAGGGGUGUCCACAAGUGGCUGGGCCUGGGAUGUAUUGUCAAGCCUAUAGUCCAAUCCUUGGUAUCUGGAUCAAGAUAUGACAUUACGGCACUGGCACUAGUGUUGGUUGUGUUAGCCUCCUUCACCGGCCUUCAAGGAAGUGCGGCCUGGGAUCGUGGCUAGUUUUGUGUGGACCAUCACUGAGCAAAAUGGAACCUUCCCCUCCAACCCCCGUCGUACUCCUCCUAGCUGAUGGGUGUGAACUCAUUGAAAGAUGAUGCCCCAGUGCCAUCCAACGCAGUAUUUAUUAAGUCUUUCUGGAAGCUCUCGUUUGAGAUCUUCGC